UAUUAACUCCAUGUCCUAUAUAUAUGAGUUGUGCUAAAAUACUAUCGGUAGUAAACGAGUCGUUUUACUAUCGAUUUGUUUUCGAUGAUAGAACUUUCAAAUUGACGAUCGGCUCCGUUGAAUAUAAUCUAUACCACUUGAAGUGUUUAGAAAUUAAAUUUCAAAUCUUUUCGACAUCAUUCGCCUAAUGAUCAAAGAGUUUCAAAAUUUGUAAUUUUAAUGGUCGAUAAGAGGCGUUUUCUCGUUUAACGGCGUAAAGAUAUCCAAAUCAAUUGAAUUUUUGUUAGAAAAUUCUUUAAACUAUUUAAAACAAGAUCUAUACUCUUGAUCUUGAUUACAAGACUCCUAUCAUCAUUUUUUAAAAAGUAUUUAUUUUCAACCAUUCAUUUUUCUGUUCACUUG
rnacentral:lncRNA from 1 species